rnacentral:misc_RNA from 1 species
GUGAAGAACGCAGCGAAAUGCGAUAAGUAAUGUGAAUUGCAGAAUUCAGUGAAUCAUCGAAUCUUUGAACGCAUCUUGCGCUCCUUGGUAUUCUGAGGAGCAUGCCUGUUUGAGUGUCAUUAAAUUCUCAACUACACUGACUUUGAAUUGGUGUGGCUUGGAUUUGGGGGGAAAAUUGUUGUGGGCUUUUUGUAUAGUCUGCUCCCCUGAAAUUGAUUAGCGGUACCUUUGUGGAACUGUCUACAGGUGUGAUAAUUAUCUACAUCUUAGACAUCUGCUGGAAUGCUGCUUUCUAAACCUUACUUGUAUUGACAAUCUUGACCUCAAAUCAGGUAGGACUACCCGCUGAACUUAAGCAUAUCAAUAAGCGGAGGA